rnacentral:tRNA from 1 species
GGCUUGGCUCUAUGGUAGAGCAUCCAGUUUGCAUCCAGAAGGUCCCAGGUUGAAUCCUUGGCAUCUCCA